CGCUCACGUUGUACUUUUGAAAUUAAAUUUAUUUUAGAUCGUAUACAUUUCGGCUGCACAAGUUGAUAGUGAACAGAUGGUUUUUUUCUCUCCUUUUGAUAAAUAAAUGUGGAAUAUCGACGAUUGAUCGCGGUUAUUCGAACGGAGAGCAGCAGAUUAUUGUUCGAGAGGUAUUGCGGAUAGAAACACUCGAGUGCCAAGUACACUAAAUAACGUGAUGCCGUCGUCGUAUUAUAUAGUGUCAUGUACACACGCGUUGCACUAUAUAACAUCAUAAAGUCUUAUAUGACGGACGAUAACUCGAACGGCGUUCUGUAUACGCGCAUCAUAAUAUAGAGUCAACACGGUCCACGCCAUCUUAUCCACUCAUCUGCAGUCUCGAAGAGCAAAUAAUGUCCUAGACGAUAUUAUUAAUUCGAUCGAGACGUCGUGUCGGUCGGAAAAGCUUCGACGCCAACAAUAUAAAUUCAAAAUUAUGUACUGCGGCAGAGUAUACAAAACAAAUCAUCAUACGUGCGAAGGAAAAUCUACACGAUUAAACGUACUCUCCAGGAUGUGUUUAUUCUGACCACGCGAUAUAUGAGUAAUGCGAGUUUAUAUAUAGACCGGCGCCACUAUAACCCAUAUAUUAUUAUUACGGUGUGGACCGUCGCGGGUGACAUACUGCUGCCGAGACUGGAGACGGUCCAGACGGGGCGCUGGCGCUGUAAUCGUUUCCGGGGCUUGAAGUAGAAUUAUAUCAAUUUGGGACGGUUAUUGUGACACGGUUUAUUUGUUUGACGUUAUUCAUAGGUGUAUAUUAUUAUAGGUGUACUCGAAGUGUACAAAUAGUUCAGGCAAACAGCUGCGGGAACGAACGCGUGGAUUUCAAUCAUUCUGAAACAAGAAAAAUGGUUUCAUUUACACUGCAUUGUAUGUUCUUAAAUUGUGUAGUAAGUAAUCCUAGUUGACGGUGUGAAUAUUUAAGUGAAGUUUUAUAUAAUACAUAUAUGCUAUAACAUUAACAAUAAUAAUAUAAUAUUAUUAAUAUUAAACUUUAA